rnacentral:misc_RNA from 1 species
AUUUUUCCCCUAGGUUGUUCACCUGUGCCGUCUACCGCUGUCUACAUGAGAGGAUGGUGGGACAGAUGUCCUCUAACGUCUAUUUAGACACGAUUCUGGUCUAUCUAUUAGACAUCCCCCUCGUCUACUCCGCCAUUGUUAUCACUAGAUGGUGAGUGAUUUCAUUCUUUGCAUAGGCCGUCGUUGGUGCCUGUUUCUUUAUGCAGUGUCCUGUGCUUUCACUCUUAGUUGCAUCCUUGUUAUCAACCUCACCAAAGCCAUGAACACCCAAGUGGACAUGAUGUUAGGAAUUACCAUAUUUGGAAAACUUGGCGUGACGUCAACGAUUGUGCUGAUCUUAUUGGUUACUCUGGAAGUGUAUCCUACCUCCAUAAGAUGUAUGGGCUUUGCCGUUGGUCUUUCGUCCGGUGUCAUAGGACUCUGUGUUGGUCAUGUCCUAUAUAUGGAAUUCUUUCAUAAAGUCCAUUUUUCUUACCCGUAUAUUUGUUACGCCGUGUUGAUGGGGGCCGUCGGCUGCACGUGCUUGUUGUUUCCGGAAACGUCGGGGAAACCAUUGCCCGACCUUGUCAGGAGCAGGCACAGGAUGAUCAGCAUGAAGGAAGUGACGCGACUGUCGAGCGCGUGGGAUGCACCUUGAUGACGUCAUUAGAAAUAUAGUUGGCAAAGUUAUUUCAAAAGGCUUACCCAAAAGUCUUUGUAUUUGGAUUCUUGUUGGUUCUUGGUUCACGCACUGUGGCAUUUCAUGGCCAGAUGCUGGAAUUUUGGAGUGGAAAAUAGGAACUUGUUUUCAAUGAAGAUGUUUGAAGGAUAGAUUUAUCGACUGUAAUCAAUUUGGAUAUCUUUUGUAUUUUGAAAAAAAAACUAUAUUGCAAUAAAUUGAACAUUAUACCAUGUU